GCUGGUGGACAAAAAUAAAUUGUCCUUUGAAACCCAGAACUCACUGUUCAGUAUGAGUUUUGAUACAUAUAAGAAGAAAUAUG
rnacentral:snoRNA from 1 species